CACGGGCUGACAUCCCCGGGUAGCAAAGGGAAUGCUCCGCUUUCCUGGGGGCUGCAGGGUGGGAGGGAUGUGCAUGUGCCCGACUGGUGCUGACCCCUAGCCAGGGCAUUUUGGGGUUAUUUUUCCCCAGAGCUUCCAGCGCCGGGCAAUGAUUUGCCCCUCAUCAGCCCCUUUAAGGGCGAAGAUGCCAGCGGGAGAACUACAGCUGUAGAUCUGAGUGCUGCCGCCAGGAGACAACAGCCUGCCCAGGGUGCCGGUGGGAUCUGGGGAGAGGGAAGCAGUAGAUCUGCUGCCUGGUCCAGCGCACACCAGGCUGUCCUUUCUGGAGGUUUCUCUGCAGAACUGGGCAGACAUUGCUGGAGGGAUCGUGUGUUGAUGAUGAAGGGAAGAGAUGAAGGUCUGGGUCCAGCUUGAGCUGUGGGUCACUUAGGCUUUGCAAUACACUUCUGCUGGUGGUCCCAGGGGAGGCAGCAGUGGGAUUUGCUUUUAUUCAGUAAAAGAAACAAAACAGAAUGCAUCACUGAUAUCUGCAAAACCAACAUGGCCAGCUGCUGGCUUUAGAAAAUCACAACCAGACAGACGUGUGACCACACCAUGUCUGUUCUCUUUGUGCCUGCUAGGAUUUCUGAGCCUAGCAUCAGGCCACCUCCUACAGCCUUUUACUUUACAAAUGAGGGCCAGAAACUCUAAAGAAAUAAAAGAGUAAGGUGAAGUUUCCA
rnacentral:lncRNA from 1 species